GUCGCUAAACUGAGCCACUCAGGCUCAGCCCCUCAGUGGCCCUCAGCAGGGGGCAUCUUAAUGAACAGAGAGGCAGAAUUCACAACUCCUUGCUGCUUUGCUUCUAGUUUCCAGGAGGUAAAGAUUCUUCAUCCAGUGCCUGUCUAGGGCCUUAAGAAAAGCAUGCUAUGUUCCUGACAAGAUAGUGACCAAGAAUUGUCUGUUGGCUCCUUCCCCCAAUUUACUCAUGAGGACCAGAGCCACAGCAUUUCUCAUAAGUGUGAUGCUGCCAGAACAAUAGGCAAAUAGAAGACAAAAAGUAGAAGAGAAUAUGAAGUCCAGAACUAGGCCCAGGAGGAAUUCAAAUAUAGCAGUGAUGGCACCUCAACACAGUGAGGGGAAAUGAUGAUAAUUUGGUAGGCUAUAUUAGGAAAAGUUGUUCAUUCUAUGAAGGGAAACAUGGUUGUUUCCUUAUUGCACACUCUAUACAAAGAUGGAAAACAAAUGGAAUAAAGACUUAAUCUGAAGGCAUAAAUACAAACGUAACUGAAGAAAAAUAUAAGAGAAUAUCUUUGUGAAUUAAGCAUUGGAAAGAUUGCUUAAACACAGAGAUUCCAAAAGCACAAUACAGAAAGCCAAGUGAUACAUACUGCAUAAAUAAAAAAUAAGGUUUCCUGUUUAAUGAAGGAUCCCAGACAGAGUAAGCAGAAAAACAGUAGCCAGAAAGAGGAUAUGUUAAAAGUCUAAAAUCAACCAUAAACCAAUCUCUAAGUUAUACAAAGAAUUCUGAUAAAACAAUAAAAAAAACAAUAAGCUCAUUUUUAAAAAUGAGCCACAAUAAUCAAUUCACAGAAAGCUAAGUCUAAAUAUCUAGUAAUACUCAAAUUCAUUAGUAACCCAAGAUGUGAUUAAAAGUACAAAGAAAUAUCUCUUUCCAACUA